CCGGUCGUCGUCUCUUCGGCGAUCUCUCUCUGUCGCUCUCUUCAAGGUCAACAACACCUAUUAUCGUCACCUCCCCUCGACGUCGAGUCUGAGCUGUUGGCAUCACCGCUGCGAAGGGCUGCUCUGUCGUCGUCGCUGCUCGAUUUGUUAGUGUCCGUCUCUCUCUUCGAGUUUUCUCUUUGUCUGAGGAUGGCUGAUUACUCUUGAGAAUUCAGGGGAAAAUAAUGUUGUUGCUGCCUCUGUGUUAAUUGGAGAACUUGACUUAUUUGAACUUGUCACAUGCUGGAUUUGUGGGAAAAUAAUGUUGUUGCUGCCUCUGUGUUACAUGCUUGGUUACUCUUGAUCUUUCACUAUCUUUCGACAUGAAUGGUUCAAUGCUUUGUUGUUACUGCCUCACCUCCAAGAAUUGACAUUUUCUCCAGAGAUCUUCCAUAUUGACAUCCCAGUAACUCAAGACCUCCAUGGUUUCUUUUUGGACUUUCCACUCAAUGGAUCUCUUCAUACCAUAAUAGUAGGUCACACAAACUU